rnacentral:lncRNA from 7 species
AGUGAAUUUCCCAAUGAGUUGGUGCUGGAAUUGAAAACCCAUCAGCCACAAUCCUGCAUGUGUGAGAGAAAAAGUCCCCUGGUAUCCAUCCCUACCUAAGGAGUGGAGUGAUACAAAUCAGGAUAUGUAAAUUUGAGCAAUGGAUCUUAAUUAUGAGCAGCAGGUGUCUGUGCAAGAGUGCUCAGAAAUCUUGGAGAUACGUCUGCAAGCUUAAGAUGUCACCCUCCUCUCCAUUUGCAAAUCUUUUGAAGCCAGGAAUAUUUCUGCAUGAGGACUGAAGCACCUCCAGUUGUUUAGAGGAAAUGUUAUCGCACAACAGCGGACAAAACAGAUGAGCCGCUUUACAACAGGAUGCACGAAGGAAGCCUCCAAGAAUGCCCAAAGUUUCCAUAGCUGAACUAUUUCCAUUAAUGUGGAGUGAUGCGAUGCCUGAUAUAAGUGAUCUACUUGAGACAGAGUAGAUUAUGUUUGCUUUACGUUUGCUUUAAUUAUCAUUUCAAUAAUAGUAAUUCUGAUGAGAAAUGUAUCGCAAGUGCUGAACAGAUUGCUGUGAAGACGGUGUCCAUACUUUGCUUAGGAUCAUACACAAAACCUCGGGAAUUUGGAAUAAAAGAAGUUAUUCUUUCAAUUUUGUGGCUGGAGAAGCCUAAAAUUAAGAGACCAAAUGACAUAUUCAGGCUUACUUGGGAAGUGGGAAAGGAGUUUUGAAUGGAGCCCAGGUUUAAGUCUCAGGGUGCAGUUUCAUAGAGCAAUUCCCACAGGAAAGAGAUCUCAUUUCCUCCUGUCUGCCAGUACUGGUCCCUGUCAGACUAUCCACGGAGCCAUAUCGAGGGAUCCAAGCAGCAAUCCCACCUCACCCCUGCAGUGAAAUAUGGAUUGGGUUUCUCCUUACCAGCAAGCUAGUGUUGAAUAGAGAAGUUGUGGGCACUUGGGAAUGACAUAAAGUGGCAGCAAAUAGCAUUUGUAUUGUAUGUAUUUAUCACUUCCCAUCACUUGUCAAUCAGUAAAAUAACUUACUUCAUCCAUUGAUCCAAAUAUAAGUACGAAAAAUAAACAAAUUAGCUGCCC